UCAGGCCACACAACGUGCUCGACUCUUCUUUUGAGUUCAUUGUGCGAUCUCCUUUGCUCUUUGACUCCAGAACUGAAGCUGAUAGCGGAGACUUUUUCGCGAGGGCACAGCAUCGAUGAGAUCCAUACGCUGUGAUCUCGGUCACGGAUGCAGCACCCUGUCGGGCAGCUUGAACGGCGUGAACUCUAUCAUCACCUGCCUGCCCAAGCUAUCGCAGGAACGCGAGCUUGCGAUAGCUCCCGGACCUGGUGGAAUGUCUGUCGAUAGGAGAAGAUGUGAUGGGCCGUUAUCAUUCAAUUUAAUCUGCAAGUACGCAGCUUAGUUGAGCUUCCGCGCGCUCGCGGGCGGCAAAAAGCUGUCAUCGAAAAUGUCGCUGACCGACGGACGCU
rnacentral:misc_RNA from 1 species